rnacentral:tRNA from 1 species
GGUUGUGGCUCAGUGGCAGAGUGCUUGUCUUACACAUGUGAGGCACUGGGUUCGAUCCUCAGCACCA